UCUGUGUUGCUAUCACUAGCCGCAUACAGUUGCCAGCGGCCAGGUUUGGUUGUUUACCACAGGUGAGGGCUGUUAGUUGGUAGCCUCACGUGCGGUUGCCGCUGGCAACAUGCUGUUGUUGGCAGUGUAGCAGCCUGAGCUUGUUGCU